AGAGGAGAAGGUCCACUUCCUACUGCGAAGCGGGCAAACUGCUCAAGGCUCAGCUCUGGAAUAAGGAACUCACGGAGGAGAGGACCCCCGUUCAGGUGACAUUCUGGUAUACUGGGUCCCUGCAGAAAAGAAAAUGCCACCAUGGCUUGUGCUUCUCCCCUGUUGCUGAGAUCUGUGGCUGAAAGGAGAUGGAGGUUCUUCUGUUCCUGGAACCCAAGGCGAUUGCAAGUUCUAGAUCAUGGCAGAGAUGCCCAGAUGCUCUGGGGAGUCUGGAACCAUCAAAAACCUGCAGCAAGAUGCUUUAGACAAGCCUGGGGACUGGAGCAAGCUGGUACAAGCUUCCAGGAACUAUACCACAGUCAUCUCCCACAACCUGGAGACCAAGAAGACCUGAGUGAAGCUGCCUUCAGGGUCCAAGAAGGUGAAUUCCUCAGCCAACAGAGCUGUUGUUAGUGUCUUGGUUGCUAAGGGCAAAAUUGACUAGAGAUGGACAACUGGCUAACACAGAGCCACAAGGCAAGUUUGUGAAAUCACCUUGGGUCCUGGAACUCCACCCUGUGCCCCCUCUAUACUAAGGUACCAUGAUUCUUAACCUCUGAAGAUUUAAUGAUGUAAAGGGCAGGGCUGAGUCUGCAAACAGAGACUCCAUUUGGACAUAGGAACAAUUUACAGGUGCCAAAAGGUUUCUUAGUGACUGAUGGAGGUAACAUUGUCAAAGUUAGAUCACAGAAGAUCACAGCCAGAAGGAGGUUCUCCCCACUCUAGACAUCAGCACUGAAUUCUUACUCACUUGAGUUUAUGGGCUGGGAAGUCCUUUAUUGCUUUAUUAUAGCCCACCUGGUUCCUAGCUCAGUUUUCACUUAUCAAUAAGCUUCAGUUUCCCAAUCUAUCAACUAUUUAACAAAAGAGUCCACAAAGUCAGUGAGUUCCUUGUGCUACAUACCCUAGGAAGAUGGAGAUACCCUGGGAAGAUGGAGAUANNNNNNNNNNNNNNNNNNACCCUGGGAAGAUGGAGAUACCCUGGGAAGAUGGAGAUACCCUGGGAAGAUGGAGAUACCCUGGGAAGAAGGAGAUACACUGGGAAGAAGGAGUUACCCUGGAAAGAUAGAGAUGCCCUGGGAAGAUGGAGAAAGAUGCAGCUGAUCCUCAUGAGACUAUUGGAGGUAUCUUCAGACACUAACUAUCAAUUAUUUCAUAGGUAAUUUCAUAGGUAAUUCAUUGCAGGUUGAAAAACUUUCAUUGAGCUCUUACUGUAUGCCAGGGCUGCAAGAGAAGAUAGAGAAAUGAAUAAGAUAUACUGGCCCAAGUGGACAUUGGCUGUUGACUAAUGUCUCAUAUCUCAUCAUGACCUUCCAUUCCAGUACAAGAACUUUCUGGCCUCAACUUAGAGUGAACACGUUUAAUUUGUAAAUAUGUUUAUGAUGAUUUUUAGCGAUAAAUUCUCCUACAAAAAAUAAAACCAAGAG
rnacentral:lncRNA from 1 species